UUGGAACCUGUGUAUCAAAGGAAUCAUUUCAGAUCUUGAUUCUAAGAUUGGAUUUUCGGUCCUAAAUCAGUGGAGGAUGAUUUUGAGGAAGAGUUGGCAGGAAAAGAGCAUCAAGUAAGUUUUUCCAGUAAAUUGAUGGACAGAGACAGCCUGAAGAUGGAGAAAGAA